GUCCGCGGUAGCUCAGUGGUAGAGCACGCAAGUCGGAAAGCGAAUAACGCGGGUUCGAUCCCACCGCGGGGCG